ACGAGUGGCGGACGGGUGAGUAAUGUCUGGGAAACUGCCGGUGGAGGGGGAUAACUACUGGAAACGGUAGCUAAUACCGUAUAACGUCGCAAGACCAAAGAGGGGGACCUUCGGGCCUCUUGCCACCGGAUGUGCCCAGAUGGGAUUAGCUUGUUGGUGAGGUAACGGCUCACCAAGGCGACGAUCCCUAGCUGGUCUGAGAGGAUGACCAGCCACACUGGAACUGAGACACGGUCCAGACUCCUACGGAAGGCAGCAG
rnacentral:rRNA from 1 species